GGCCACCAUAGGUUGACCUGUCCUGGGUGUCAUGAGUGCCAAACAAACAGCUCUGGCUUGUUGAAGCCCUUGUUGGACAGCAGGAUGGAGUGGAUAGCAGAAGCUGUGUGAAAGUCAUCGGUGUGACCGGAGCAGAAGUAAAGGUGGCAACACAUUUCCUUGUAAAGCUACACCUCAUUCUUAAGCUGUUGAAUAAAGCAAGGUUUUAUGAAGUUUCAACUGCAAAAUGAUGGUGAAACCUGAGGAACUUAUUAAAGCUUCAGGAGUAGGAUUUUCAACUGUUCUUUUGGAAAACAAUGUGCUGAAGUGGAGAUUUACAGAUUUAAGAAAAUGGACUGUCAAUCGCAAGCCUGUAUUUCCUGCUGCUGAACUCUGACAACCUGUCCAUCCUAACAAGAGAUACAAUAUACAUUUUUCCCCUUACUCUGAUGUUUCAAGUUUUGUAUUGUCAGUUGUGGAAAUCCAUAUUUUUGUUGCUCUCAACCAAACCCUCAACACAAAGAAUCCAUAA